rnacentral:rRNA from 1 species
CCUACGGGAGGCAGCAGUCGAGAAUCAUUCACAAUGGGGGAAACCCUGAUGGUGCGACGCCGCGUGGGGGAAUGAAGUUCUUCGGAUUGUAAACCCCUGUCAUGUGGGAGCAAAUUAAAAAGAUAGUACCACACGAGGAAGAGACGGCUAACUCUGUGCCAGCAGCCGCGGUAAUACAGAGGUUUCAAGCGUGGUUCGGAAUCACUGGGCGUAAAGCGUGCGUAGGCUGUUUCGUAAGUCGUGUGUGAAAGGCGCGGGCUCAACCCGCGGACGGCACAUGAUACUGCGAGACUAGAGUAAUGGAGGGGGAACCGGAAUUCUCGGUGUAGCAGUGAAAUGCGUAGAUAUCGAGAGGAACACUCGUGGCGAAGGCGGGUUCCUGGACAUUAACUGACGCUGAGGCACGAAGGCCAGGGGAGCGAAAGGGAUUAGAUACCCUUGUAGUC